GAGAUUAUCACUGCCUUGGCCAAUGAAAGGCGGGUGGAAGUGACGUGUGUACAAGUCCGAGAGCCGAGCCUGUGUGCAGUUUCCUACCCUUUCUGUUUUUGCACUGUCACCAAAACCACUGAGUUGCAGAAAGCGACCACUCCGUCGGCAUGGGUCCUGGACUGAGCAGGAUGCAGAGCAGAGCAUCGGCCAGCCUGCCAGGGACACGCACAGGAAGUCAAGGCAAAAGCAUUCGAAAUAUGGACUAUUUCACUGGUUUACCAUAAUAAAAGGAGAACCAGGAGCAUCCUCCGGAAUAUGGUGCCUGGUGUCACCGGAGCCGUAUUAAAGCCACAGAGCUUCUAGCAGAACAGGAAGAAGCCAGCAAUGCAAGCACACAGAACGGAAAGCCAGGGAGCCCGAGUCCCUGACAGCCCUUAGCUGACGCCAAAGCGCUGUCUCCAGAAACUUCUGCUUCAUGCCUGUAAGCCGUCCCAUCGGGCAAUUCAUCAUGGCCUCCAACGCUGCACAACUUGCCUAUCUUCAUAUCUUCUGCACUUAACUUUGCAUAUGUUUAAUUUCAGAGGAAUUUUUGUGAAGAUCAGACUCACAUUCGGUACAAAACACAGACUUUAUAGGACAUCAGGGAAUGUCUGUGGGGAGCUGUUGUGACUGCCAACAAAAGAGACGACAGUGACCACCAGCUGCCCCUGGAAACACCCUUCCAGUGUAUGUUAGCAUCUCACUGCACUGCACACCAGCCUGUGGCCUCACCGCCAUCCUCCUCUCAGAGAGGAAGCCCUCCAGGUCCAGCGUCCCCACUGCUUAACUCAAGUUCACAGACACAGCGGCAGAUGGAAAAAUUGUCCCAGAGUGCCACAGUCAUGGCUUCUUGGAGGUUUACCUGACCCUCAGGGCAGUGUGGCUGUCUCCGUGUUAAAGGAACUUCUGAUCUCUAUGCAUUAUGAAAUAAGCCUCUCUUAGUAUAUUUCUGCAUGCGCCCUGUUUUUCAAGCCGGAUAUCAACAGAAUGUCAACCAAACCAGUUAAAACAUUUCAAACUCUGUACAUGAGUUUUAGUGCAUUUGACAUUCUGAAAAACUCUUAGAGGGGGUAUUCAAGAUGGAAAAGGUGUAUUAUGGAAAAAACUAUGCAUGAAUUCCAAUUUUCUGUACCAAAAUUAUUUAUGCUUUAGUUUCAUUUUUUCAUAAAUGUUUUGAAGUUUUAUAAAAUUAGUUACUUGAAAAUUAUGUAAACAUAUAAAUUGUUUUCACCUGAUUAUUUUGUAUGAUCCCAACACACCACUCACCAUGGACCAGUUCUUCGAAAGGUUCCAGUGGCUUUCCAAGCACUCCUGCGUGCUCUACAAAGCCUUAGCUGUUUUGGCCCUGUGUUCAUGGCAAAUACAGCUGUGCUCCCCUUCUGGCCUCGGACUCCCACACAGACUAGGGGACAAGGAACUGGUUGGGGUCGUUGGGCUAUGUAUCUAUUAAAUCACUAAACCUGUAAUAAGGUAGGAGUUCUGUGUUUUCCUAGAUUCUGUAAGUGUCUGUCUGACAUCCAUUCAUCACAGGCCCAAUUAUAUUAGCUACAUGUUCUUAUUUACUGUAAUUUUUUCCCCAUAAGGUGUGUACACUCA